rnacentral:rRNA from 1 species
UACGGGGGGAGCAAGCGUUGUUCGGAUUUACUGGGCGUAAGGGGCGCGUAGGCGGCCACCGCAAGUCGGUUGUGAAAUCUCUGGGCUUAACCCAGAAAGGUCAACCGAUACUGCGGGGCUAGAGUGCAGAAGGGGCAACUGGAAUUCUCGGUGUAGCGGUGAAAUGCGUAGAUAUCGAGAGGAACACCUGCGGCGAAGGCGGGUUGCUGGGCUGACACUGACGCUGAAGCGCGAAAGCUAGGGGAGCGAACGGG